UAUCAAGUUGGUGUUCAUGACCUUUGCUG
rnacentral:piRNA from 1 species